rnacentral:lncRNA from 1 species
UGGCUCUGUAGCCCAUGUCCUUGGCAGCUACCGCUACACUAGGCCUGAGGGAUGAAAGUCACUUCACUUCAUGAGCUCACUCCCUCCGCCCUCCCCCAAGGAAGUGGCCAAGAAACUUCUUUGGGUCAGCCUAUCAGAGUAAUCAGGGCCUGCACUUCCUGAUGGGAUAGACAGGAGGCAGGUCCCUCUCCAAGAGCUCUGGUCACUUCACUUAGAAUACUGUUUACCCCACCCCCAUAAGCCCUUUGAUCUGAACCCCAAGUACAGAGUACAGAGACAGGUGUCAGGAGUUCUUGUAGGAUACAGCAUUGAGUGUCCAGGAUGUCCACUGAAAUGCAAGAGCCAAAUGGCUUGUUUCCCAAGGACACUCGGCCAAGCACAGACCACAAAAGACUUGAAGAAUUAUUAAAGAACCAACUAACCACUGACUGAUCUUGUGACAAGCACCAUGUGACAUUUAUUACACCAUAAAUUCUACCUUCCCUUCUGAGAUUCCAUUGUCUAAUAUGGUAGCCACUAACCAAAUGUUCUGCAGAGCACUGGAAAUGUGGAAAGUUAGAGUUGAGGAUGUUCUGUAAGGCACACACUGGAUUUUGAUGACAGUACAAAAAUGGAAUGCAAAAUGUCUCGUUUUAAUACUGAUCUCAGGCUGAAAUUACUUUGUAUAUAUCAAAUUCAGUGAAAUAUACUUUUUUUUUGAGACGGAGCCUCACUCUGUCACCAGGCUGCAGUGCAGUGACAUGAUCUCGGCUCACUGCAACCUCUACCUCCCGGGUUCAUGCCAUUCCCCUGCCUCAGCCUCUGGCGCAGCUGGGACUACAGGCGUGUGCCACCACACCCAGCUAAUUUUUGUAUUUUUAGUAGAGACGCAUUUCACCACGUUGGCCAGGAUGGUCUCGAUCUCUUGACCUCGUGAUCCUCCCACCUCAGCCUCCCAAAGUGCUGGGAUUACUGGCAUGAGCCACUGUGCCAGGCCAGUAAAAUAUACUAUUGAAGUUCAUUCCAUCUCAUGGAAAGAAUGUGUCCCCCCAAAAUUCAUACAAUGAAGUUCUGACCCCCAGUGUAAUGGUAUUUGGAGACGGGACCUUUGGGAGGUAGUGAGGGUUAGAUUAAGUCAUGAGGGUGGGGCCAUCAGGUAAUGAGAACAGGAUUCACAGUCUUACAAAAAGAGGAAAACACCCCCUUGCCCCACCCCACCCCUGUCAUUUGAGAAUGCAGUAAGAAGGCAGAUAUCUGCAAGCCAGGAAGAGGGUCCUCACCAGAACCCAACCAUGCCAGCACCCUGCACCCUGGGCUCAGACUUAGAGCUUCCAGAACUUUGACAAUAUAAAUUUCUGCUGUUUAAGCCACCAGUCUACAGUAUUUUGUUAUGGCAGCCCCAGCUAAGACACAGCUGUUUCUUCUUCCUUUUAUUAACACGACUACUAGAAAACGUUGUUUUAUAUCUAUCCAUAGUUCAUACACUAUUUCUGUCACACAGCACUCUUCUAGAUGUUCCUUCUAGCAGGCAUUGUGUGCUGCACAGUAUGGGGGUUAUUCCAAACAGCAAGCCAGGAGCUUGAAAUUAAAGGGCAUCCCUGAAGCCAAAGCAACAGGACGGUCAGGUCUGCUCCAAACUGGGCCUGGGGCAGCUCUUUUCACAGUUCUCCACAGGUCAGGGACUGGUUGAUGUGACUACAAGAAAUACCCAGUGACCCCCACCUUCCUCCCAGGGCAGGAAUACAGGUCCUUAUAGUGUGACUCUGACUGCCCCCUGGCAGGGUACACUGCUCAGCACUGCCCAAGCUAGGUGACUGAAGCAGAGGAAAAAGAAAGGACAUACAGUCCUUCCAGGGGUCUGAUGCCGCCCUGCCCUGCCUAAGGAGGGAGGUGUGAGACUGGUGUGAUCCCCAGAUCCCAGGUCUCAAGCUGUCCUGUCUUGGGAGGAAGCUCUCCUAAAGGCCUGGGCUUGGAAGAGCCCCAGCACUUCCAGGGAUCAGGCACCCAGCGGGUCUGGAGGCAGUCAGGUGGGCUGCGGUCUGCCUAUCAAGUCAGCUUGCUGCCGCCCUCCCUCUAGCAGACCAAUGCCUCCCCUUUCACUUUCGAGCACUCCUUCUUGGGGAAAAGGCAUCCCAAGGGAGCGGGGCAAAAAAGAGCAGAAAGUCCAACACGACCACCACUUCGCCUCCAAGAAGCGGCUCCAGGAGAGCUGCAACGCCCUCUUCCAUACGGUACUCAGGUGCCAGCUGGUCUUUGCCCUUCGGUUUCCGGACUCAGGCUGCGCGCGCGCGCGCUACUACCCUACAGAACUCACUCGCUUUCGGUGUAAACUAAGCCUCACGACGACGCACAGGAGAAGGUAGAACCAGGGUGGGAAUGGGACGCAGAUCCCAAAUCCCCACCCCCGCAGCAGCGUGGGGACUCCGGCCCCGCCCCUGCACGCCCGGCCCCGCCCCUCGAGGGUUUCCCAGACUCCAGGCGGCUGCCACCGAGGGCGGCGGGGGACCCGCGCUGCAUGUGUAAUGGGGGCUGGGAACAAAGACGCGCAGGACCCGGCGGCCGGGUACCAGCCGCCCCGACCUUCUCGCCAGAGCUUCAAUGCCCAGCUCCCCACGUUUCCCAGGACUGGCCAGGGGACGUCCCGGCGCGCCCGCCGGGGUUAGGCGCACCCCGGCACCACUGAGAGAGGGAAAUCGGUGCUUGGACCGUAGGAGAAACAAGCUUUCCAGGCGGAACUCCGCUUGUUUACGCCCGCGCCCACAUACCCCCAAACACACAUGCGCUGGCCGAACACCUCCAGCCACACGCCCGCAGCCGCGGGCGAGCUGAGCGCUGGUCACCCACCCCGCCACGUGCCUCCUGGAGGCCCGAAGGAAGAGGGACCUGUUGGGUUUUCCAUCUUACCCACCCCCUCCCCUCCCAAGUGCCCAAACAAAGCGGUCCCGCGAAGCGACCACACUCCGCAUCCCGGGGCCAACGGCAGGGAAAGAGGGAGCAGGUGGGAGCCAGCACCAACAGCCCGCCGGGCCGGUAACGCGACGCAGACUGGUGGCAAGAGAUGCAGGGGACUUUGGGCUGCGUGAAGCCGCCCCCUUCGCUUCGCUACACUUAGUGACUCUGAGGGACAUGCAACCCUCCCCGCAUGCUGCUGCUGCUGCUGCACCUACAAUCCUGCCACCCCCAAUGAGAUCUGCCCACCCCUCUUGGCCGCCUUCCCCACGCUCAGGUUUUCCUCACUCUUUCCCUGGGUUCCACGCGCCCGCGUAGCCCGAACUCCGACCCUGAGGCUCCGCGUCCCGGCCCCCAUCGCAGGGGCGCCUCUAGGAACCAGAAUCCCGCAGAUGACUGCACAGACAAGAUCGUGCCCCCAAGUUCGGCGAGCCGGGCGCCCACCGCGCCCCCAGCCCACGCCCCCGGAGUUCCUGCGCCACCCACAGCGGCCCUGAGCUUCAAUCUGCACUUUCAAAACUUCCCAGUUGCCUCCAGAGCCCUGCAGUUGAAGAUCUUGUCUAGCACAUGGUUUUGCUGUUUUCCUCACCCCGAACUCCCUCCUUGGAGGGCCAUCGUUCUCUGUCUCAGAUUCCACCCUCCUUAUCACACAACUAGAGCUUCGGAGGAACGUGAUGGGGCUCCCAACUAAGGAGGGAAAGACCAUCAUAGCUCAGGGAUGAGGCUCCGAGAUCCUCAGAUAACAUUAAUUGUCCUCUGUCUUCUCUUGACUUGGCACAUCCUUGCUUGGAGCAGGGCAGGAGCAGCUGAAAGGGAGGUGGCACCUGGAGGUCUCAGUCAUUUCACUUCUCUGAGCCUCAGUUUUCCCAUAUGCAAAGUGAAGAGGUACACUCCCUCAGGGUUUUGCAUCUUCUUAAUGGCAGAAACCUAGUCAAACAAAAUAUUAUGUAAAUGUUCACUAUAGGCAGGGCGAGGUGGCUCAAACCUGUAAUUCCAGCACUUUUAGAGGCCCAGGAGGCUCUUGAGGUCAGGAGUUCGAGACCAGCCUGACCAACAUGGCAAAAACCUGUCUCUACUAAAUAAUACAAAAAUUAGCUGGGCAUGGUGACACACACCUGUAAUUCCAACUACUCGGUAGGAGGCUGAGGCAGGAGAAUCGCUUGAACACAGGAGGGAGGCGGAGGUUGCAGUGAGCUGAGAUUGCACCACUGCACUCCAUCCUAGGUGACAGAGUGAGACUCUCUCUCAAAAAAAAAACAAGUUUAUAAAGGAAUGUAUAUUGUUCUGAUUGACAUUGAAAUAGGGUCAACUACCCCCGGUCACCAGAGCAGCAGGAACACCUCAGGGGCCACACUUUGGAGGCACUGCCCAGAAAGAUUUCUGGGUCUUUAAAAGUCCCUUCCAGUCCUGGGAAAUUCUAUGUGAAAAUGAUGGUCCCUGCUUGCUAUAAUCCCUACAGGUGACUUAUUAUCUAAGCCAUUUAACACAGGAUUGAAUACUAUGCGACUGUGUGCCAAGCAAGAAGCAGUGUUGUAUGGGACACCCUAGCUGUGUAUAAGGUAUCUGGUAAUAACACAGGAGGCCACAGUGAUAGACUGUGAUAACGGAAGUAAUUCCAUAUCCAGUUUAAGUGUCUUUUCUAGGGAGUAUAAAUCGUUAUCUCCAUUCCAAUAUGGACUGAAAGGUAUCGACUUUUAUCCAUGUGCCAAAAAUUAGAUUGGCUGGUUCCUCUCUUCUACUCCAUACCAGGUCAGGUAUCAUAAUAAGGACUCAGAGUGGUCCAAGCUGCCCAAAUAUCUGUGUCUUCCACUCUGACCUGUCUGGGAACCCCAAAUUUAUAUCCAACUGCUUACUUGACAACUGCAGUUGGUAGCCUAUCAGGCAUCUCAAAUUUGACCUAGCCAAAGCAGAAGUCCUCAUUUUCCCCGUAAAUCUCCUCCCCAGUUUUCCCUGUCUGAAUCAAUGGCAUAAGCAACUACACCAUUGCUCAAAUCAGAACCUUAUGAGUCCUACUGAAACCAGCCAAAGAGUCCCAUAGACAGUUGUUUUUGUUUUUGUUUUUGUUUUUGUUUUUGAGACAGAGUUUGGCUCUUAUUGCCCUCACUGGAGUGCAGUGGCACGAUCUCGGCUCACUGCGACCUCCACCUCCUGAGUUCAAGUGAUUCUCCUGCCGCAGCCUCCCAAGUAGCUGGAAUUACAGGCACGCCACCAUGCCCAGCUAAGUUUUGUAUUUUUAGUAGAUACAGGGUUUCAUCAUGUUGGCCAGGCUGGUCUUGAACUCCCAACUUCAGGUGACCUGCCUGCCUCAGCCUCCCAAAGUGCUGGGAUUAUAGAAGUUGACCCUUUUGCAGUUAAAGCUGGAAACUUACUUGUUUUAUCCGAGUUCCUUCCUCAGGAAAGGACCUUCAGGCCUCUCACAAAAAGUAUCAAAGAACUGAAGCCAUAAAAAGUAUCAAAAGAACUGAAACCAGAUCACUGCACUAGAUGCUGGGCCCCUCAGUCACCAUGAUUGCUUCCUUGCCCCUCCCAUGUUCCUGUUUUCUUACAUAUUGUUACAUUUCUUUCCUGCUAUAUAAACCCUUGGUUUUGGUCAGUCAAGGAGAUGGAUUUGAGACUGCACUCCCAUCUCCUUGGCUGCAGCACCUGAUUAAAGCCUUCUUCCUUGGCAAUACUUGUCAUCUCAGUGAUUGGCUUUCUGUGCACCGAGCAGCAGGACCUAGACCAAACCCCUGGUGUUUCGGUAACAAUACUUGAUUCCUCCCAUAUACAGUCCAUCAGCAAAAUAGCCUCAAAAGUGUAUCCACCAUCCGACUACUUUUUUCCAUGUACACUACUGCAACAUUGUCUUAUAUCUGGACUGUUGCAAUAGCAGUGAACCAGAAGGGAGCUUAACUGGUCCUCUGAAUUCAUUCUUGCCUUAAAUAAAUCUUCCAUAUAGUAACCAAAGUGAUUCCCUGCCAUCAUUUUGAUCAUGAGCUCAUCAAGCAAAUACUAGGCUGGUUGAGAAAGGUGAUAAUGGAUAUUUGAAAAACGAGUUCUAUUUGGGUUUUCUGUUCUUUUGAACGACUACAAGAUUGCUAAAUAUCACAUUUGGUAUCAGACAUCGGGUGACCAAAAACUGAAAGGCAAAAAAAAUCUGAAACCCCAAAUGUCUGCUGUAGAAUUUAUGGCAGUGAAUUCUGCCAUUAAGGCAUUCAGUGUGUUAGGACCACUAUUCCCUGGCUUCCCCACCCUUCAACAAUCAAGACCAGAAACCAAGGAAUUGAGAAGAAUCAGUUGAACAUGACAUUCUUUAGUAUCAAGCUAUGGAAGAAGAUGGAAAACUAUAGCAUUGUAAUAAGACUUGGCAUCUAUAUAAUUAUAAUGAAUUCUAUUAAGGGAUUAAAUACAUUCAUUUAGCAAGAUAAACUUUGAAAGUAACCACAGUUUUUAUAAUGUUAUUUGGGAAUUUCUUCAUUUGAGAAAAUAUAAGUGGCCUCACCCUCUCUCAGUUUCUGAGAGGCCCUGGUUAGACAUUCACUGUAGUGGGUAAUUUAGGCAUAGCAAUACGAAAUUAAACAAUUUUAUGAGAGUACCAUUCACAGUGUAUAAUUGUUGGGGGAGGGGUGGGCAGUGUAUACUUUCUUUGGUAAUACAGUUCCCCCAAGACUUAAUAAGCUAUCUGUUAUUUCCUAGACACAGUUCUCAAAGUGCUUUAUUUCUUUGCCUUAUUUAUUUUCUUCCUAGACCUCGUACUUUCCCCGCCCCUUUCUCUUAACUUAAUGGUGGUUACUUGAGGUCAAAAAAAUGAAUUGGCUUGGGUAGAAAGCUAACACUAUCUCUCAAGAGAGAUUAGAUUAUGCUGUGCUAAUGGAAAAAUCCCAAAACCUUAAUGGCUUAAAAUAACAAAAUUUAUAUCUUUCUCGUGAUACAUAUCCAUUGGAGGUCAACAAACAAGCUCUACUCAUUGUAAUAACUCAGGGACACAGACUAAGAGGGCUACCUUUUGAUACAUGCUUCUACUAUUGGAGAGACAAGGGAAAGAGAGCAUGGUAAAUGCUGGCCCUUAAAACUUCUACCAGACUGGGAAGAUGAUGGUUAGGUUGUUGGCUGCAUUGUUUUUGAAUCUUUCAAAAUCUUCACAUGAAAACACAGAGUAAGCUGGGUGUGAUGGCUUAUGCCUGUAAUCCCAGCACAUCAGGAGGCUGAGGCAGGAGCAUCACUUGAGCCCAGGAGUUCAAGACUAGCCUGGACAACAUAGUGAGACCCCCGUUUGUUAAAAAUAAAUAAAAAUAAGGCUGGGCAUGGUGGCUCACGCCUGUAAUCUGAGCACUUUGGGAGGCCAAGGCAGGUGGAUCACGAGGUCAAGAGAUCGAGACCAUUCUGGCCAACACGGUGAAACCCUGUCUCUACUAAAAAUACAAAAAUUAGCUGGGCAUGGUGGCACAUACCUGUAGUCCCAGCUACUCAGUAGGCUGAGGUGGGAGAAUCACUUGAACCCAGGAGGUGGAGGUUGCAGUGAGCCAAAAUCAUGCCACUGCACUCCAGCCUGGCAACAGAGCAAGACUUGAAUGUCUCACAAAAUAGCAAUAAUUAAUUAAUUAAAAUAAAUAAAUAAAUAAAAAUGAAAAACACAGAGCAACUGUAUGGAAAAAACCAGACCAUCCAAGUGCACUCACUGAAAAACCAGGUGACAGGAUUUCCCUCAAAACAUCAAAAUACAAGCAAAUAGAGACAAACUACUAAUAGCAACAAAAGCUGUGUGGGCGAGCCUCUGCGCAAGAGGGAGCAGGAUACAACAGGGUAUAUGACAUACCUGAGAACCUCCAAGAAUUCACACAGGAUGGGGAAAUGUUUAGCUCCACCCAGCAAAAUUGGAGUCUUCAUGGAAAACUCAGAACAUUCAGUAGAGACCCAGAGAGUCACUCCAUAGUGGAGCUAAACCAGCCCUAGAUAAUAAAGGCUAUUGUAAACCUCAAUACUAAGCUAAAGGAACAAGCCUUGACAUGAUCAACUUGAUCUAUAAGUUAAUUUAACUACCCACCAGAGGAACCAUCACUUUUUAAAGAAAUUCUAUCAAUCUGACACUCAGUAAAAAAAUAUUUUAAAUGCCCACAUCUAAUAAAAGAAUUACUAAGCAUAGGAAGAAGCAGGAAAAUGUGACCCAAAAGAAGCAGAAAAAUCAUUCAAUAGGAACAGAUACAGAAGUGACAGAGAUAAUGGGAUUAUCAGUCAAGGAUUUUAGUUUAAUUUGAUUUUUACAGGUAUUUUUGUACAAAUUCAUGGAGGACAUGAGAAAUUUUGUUGCAUGUAUAUAAUGUGUAUUGUUCAAGUAAUGGCAUUUAGGUAUCCAUCACCCAAGAUCAAUACAUUAUUCUUAAAUAUAGUCACCCUACUCAGCUAUCAGACAUUGAGUUUAUUCUAUCUGUAUGUUUGUACCCUUUAACCCAGUUCUCUUCACCCACCCACCCCAGCUCCCUACUCACCCCUCCCAGUCUCUGUUAUCUAUCUCUCUACUGCCAUAAAAUAAAAUAUUUUAGUUUCCACAUAUAA